AUUGAACGCUGGCGGCAGGCCUAACACAUGCAAGUCGAGCGGAUGAAGGGAGCUUGCUCCUGGAUUCAGCGGCGGACGGGUGAGUAAUGCCUAGGAAUCUGCCUGGUAGUGGGGGAUAACGUCCGGAAACGGGCGCUAAUACCGCAUACGUCCUUAGUGAGAAAGUGGGGGAUCUUCGGACCUCACGCUAUCAGAUGAUCCUAGGUCGUAUUAGAUAGUUGGUGGGGUAAAGGCCUACCAAGGCGACGAUCCGUAACUGGUCUGAGAGGAUGAUCAGUCAGACGGGAAGUGAGAAACGGUCCAGACUCCUGCGGGAAGCAGCAGUGGGGAAUAUUGGACGAUGGGCGAAAGCCUGAUCCAGCCAUGCCGCGUGUGUGAAGAAGGUCUUCGGAUUGUAAAGCACUUUAAGUUGGGAGGAAGGGCAGUAAGUUAAUACCUGGCUGUUUUGACGUUACCAGCAGAAUAAGCACCGGCUAACUUCGUG
rnacentral:rRNA from 1 species